AGAAAUUGUACUACAUCCAGGAAUCUCAUGGUAUUGUGGUCACAGACGUGACGUUCCUACCUGACGCUCCUAAAAGUAAAGCCGUGAAGGGGAAUAAUGAAGUGGUCAUGUUGAGCGUAGCCGUCGACAGCCGCUGUCAGGUGCAUGCCAUCUCCAACCGGAGAUCAUUCCCGCUGUGGCUGGUGCUGUUCUUCUGCGGUCUGAUGGUGGUUGGAGUGAUUCUGCUCCUGCAGUCUCUCUUCCCAGGAUUCAUUUAGUGUAGCCUAUCCCUUCUCACCAUCACCUGAGCGUAACAUUUUAUAUACUAAAAAAUGACUUGAAGCAAAGCUGGAUCUAUGAAAUUGUUUAAUCAAUUGGAAAUAAUAAUGGAAAUGGGAAUUCGCAUCAUGUUUUAACUGAAGUAAGUCUCCGGAGUGUGAAUUUGAGCUCUGACUUCUUAUGAAUCAGAUCGGAUGAAGAAUUUGGGCAUGACCUGAAGAUCCUGAACUGCUGGUUCUCCUCAUCAGUGAGUGAACUGUUUCAGGACCGUUGAAAAACAGGACUGGAUUUCCUGACUGCUCCACCAGCAUGAGUCAUCAAAUGCCUUUUAAUGGAGAAAUAUAUAUGCAGGGAAUUUCAACAGUGAAUUAUUUUAAAUAUUUAAAAUCAUGUAAAAAAUAUAAAUAUACAUCUGAACAACA